GAAGUUUGAAUGGUAAUGUACAUCAUAUAUUUUUUUCAGUUUUAUCAUUCUCUCAUUUUAGAAGUUACAGGGGGGGGGACACACAUUUUACCACUUUGGAAGUGUCUCUCGCGCAAACUAUUCAGUUUAGAAAAAAAAAUGGUAUUAGAAACCACAAUAUCAUUUUGGAAGACCUAUCCAUAGAUACCCCACACGUAUGGGUUUGAUAAAAAAUUUUUUUUUGAGUUUCAAUUUAUGACGUAUUAAAAAAACUACUUACUAGUUCUCGUUCAAACCAAUUUUCGGUGGAAGUUUGCAUGGUAAUGUACAUCAUAUAUUUUUUUUUCUUUUAUCAUUCUCUUAUUUUAGAAGUUACAGGGGGGGGGCACAUUUUACCACUUUGGAAGUGUCUCUCGCGCAAACUAUUCAGUUUAGAAAA